AACGGAUUAGAUACCCUGGUAGUCCACGCUGUAACGAUGAUCACUCGUUGUUGGCGAUACACCGUCAGCGACUGAGCGAAAGCAAUAAGUGAUCCACCUGGGGAGUACGGCGGCAACGCUGAAACUCAAAGGAAUUGACGGGGGCCCGCACAAGCGGAGGAACAUGUGGUUUAAUUCGAUGAUACGCGAGGAACCUUACCUGGGCUUGAAAGGGGAAUGACCUCCCGGGAAACCGGGAUUCUCUUCGGAGCGUUCUCCUAGGUGCUGCAUGGUUGUCGUCAGCUCGUGCCGUGAGGUGUCGGGUUAAGUCCCAUAACGAGCGCAACCCCUAUUGUUAGUUGCCAGCGGGUAAUGCCGGGAACUCUAACGAAACUGCCGGUGUAAACCGAGAGGAAGGUGGGGAUGACGUCAAAUCAGCACGGCCCUUAUGUCCAGGGCUACACACGUGUUACAAUGGCCGGCACAAAGGGCAGCUACUAGGUGACUAGAUGCUAAUCUCUAAAACCGGUCUCAGUUCGGAUCGAAGUCUGCAACUCGACUUCGUGAAGCUGGAUUCGCUAGUAAUCGCGCAUCAGCAACGGCGCGGUGAAUACGUUCCCGGGCCUUGUACACACCGCCCGUCAAGCCAUGGAAGCUGGGAGUACCUGAAGUCUGUAACCGAAAGGAGCGGCCUAGGGUAAAACCAGUGACUGGGGCUAAGUCGUAACAAGGUACC
rnacentral:rRNA from 1 species